AAUGAACGUUGGCGGCGUGGAUUAGGCAUGCGAGUCGAGCGAGAACCGUAGCAAUACGGGGACAGCGGCGAAAGGGACAGUAACGGGUAGAUUAUCUGCCCUCAGGUUUGGGAUAGCUGCGGGAAACUGCAGGUAAUACCAAAUAAUAUCUCCGGAUCAAAGGUGUGAUUCCGCCUGAGGAUGAGUCUGCCUCCUAUUAGCUUGUUGGUGGGGUAACGGCCUACCAAGGCAUUGAUGGGUAGCGGGUGUGAGAGCACGACCCGCGUCAUUGGGACUGAGACACUGCCCAGACACCUACGGGUGGCUGCAGUCGAGAAUCUUCGGCAAUGGACGCAAGUCUGACCGAGCGACGCCGCGUGUGGGAUGAAGGCCUUCGGGUUGUAAACCACUGUCAGAGGGGAUGAAAUGCAGGUGGGUACUCCCAUCUGUUUGACAUAGCCUCAGAGGAAGUACGGGCUAAGUUCGUGCCAGCCGCCGCCGUAACAC
rnacentral:rRNA from 1 species